rnacentral:rRNA from 1 species
AUGUAUGUCUACGAAUGUCAUUUAAUGGGCCUUGUGCCUAUAAACCAUAAUACAACUUUCAACAACGGAUCUCUUGGCUCUCCCAUCGAUGAAGAACGCAGCGAAAUGCGAUAAGUAAUGUGAAUUGCAGAAUUCAGUGAAUCAUCGAAUCUUUGAACGCACCUUGCGCCCCUUGGUAUUCCGAGGGGCAUGCCUGUUUGAGUGUCAUUAAAUUCUCAAACUCACAUUGGUUUUUUCUAUUUGUGAUGUUUGGAUUGUUGGGGGUUGCUGGCUGUAACACGUCGGCUCCUCUUAAAUGCAUUAGCAGGACUUCUCAUUGCCUCUGCGCAUGAUGUGAUAAUUCUCACUCAUCAAUAGCACGCAUGAAUAGAGUCCAGCUCUCUAAUCGUCCGCAAGGACAAUUUUUCUGACAAUUUGACCUCAAAUCAGGUAGGACUACCCGCUGAACUUAAGCUUAUCAAUAAGCGGAGGAAAAGAAACUAACAAGGAUUCCCCUAGUAACUGCGAGUGAAGCGGGAAAAGCUCAAAUUUAAAAUCUGGUGGUCUUUGGCCAUCCGAGUUGUAAUCUAGAGAAGUGUUAUCCGCGCUGGACCGUGUACAAGUCCCCUGGAAUGGGGCGUCAUAGAGGGUGAGAAUCCCGUCUUUGACACGGACUACCAGGGCUUUGUGAUGCACUCUCAAAGAGUCGAGUUGUUUGGGAAUGCAGCUCAAAAUGGGUGGUAAAUUCCAUCUAAAGCUAAAUAUUGGCGAGAGACCGAUAGCGAACAAGUACCGUGAGGGAAAGAU